CGAAAGCCUGACGGAGCAACGCCGCGUGAGGGAGGAAGGCCCUUGGGUUGUAAACCUCUUUUCUGGGGGAAGAAGUAAUGACGGUACCCCAGGAAUAAGCAUCGGCUAACUCCGUGCCAGCAGCCGCGGUAAUACGGAGGAUGCAAGCGUUAUCCGGAAUCAUUGGGCGUAAAGCGUCCGCAGGUGGCUAUUCAAGUCUGCUGUCAAAGCAUGGAGCUUAACUCCAUAGAGGCAGUGGAAACUGAAAGGCUAGAGGCCGGUAGGGGUAGUGGGAAUUCCCAGUGUAGCGGUGAAAUGCGUAGAGAUUGGGAAGAACAUCGGUGGCGAAAGCGCACUACUGGGCAGGACCUGACACUGAGGGACGAAAGCUAGGGGAGCAAAAGGGAUUAGAUACCCCUGUAGUCCUAGUCGUAAACGAUGGAGACUAGGCGUAGCUUGUAUCGACCCAAGCUGUGCCGAAGCUAACGCGUUAAGUCUCCCGCCUGGGGAGUACGCACGCAAGUGUGAAACUCAAAGGAAUUGACGGGGGCCCGCACAAGCGGUGGAGUAUGUGGUUUAAUUCGAUGCAACGCGAAGAACCUUACCAGGGCUUGACAUCUGGCGAAUUUGGGGGAAACCUCGGAGUGCCUUCGGGAGCGCCAAGACAGGUGGUGCAUGGCUGUCGUCAGCUCGUGUCGUGAGAUGUUGGGUUAAGUCCCGCAACGAGCGCAACCCUCGUUUUUAGUUGCCAUCAUUAAGUUGGGCACUCUAGAGAGACUGCCGGUGACAAACCGGAGGAAGGUGGGGAUGACGUCAAGUCAGCAUGCCCCUUACGUCCUGGGCUACACACGUACUACAAUGGUCGGGACAGAGGGCAGCAAACUCGCAAGAGCAAGCGAAUCUCAUCAAACUCGGCCUCAGUUCAGAUUGCAGGCUGCAACUAGCCCGCAUGAAGGAGGAAUCGCUAGUAAUCGCCGGUCAGCAUACGGCGGUGAAUUCGUUCCCGGGCCUUGUACACACCGCCCGUCACACCAUGGGAGCUGGCCACGCCCGAAGUCGUUACCCUAACCCGAAAGGGAGGGGGAUGCCGAAGGCAGGGCUAGUGACUGGGGUGAAGUCGUAACAAGGUAGCCGUACCGGAAGGUGUGGCUGGAUCACCUCCUUU
rnacentral:rRNA from 1 species